GGGGGCGGAAAGUCUUUUUCGGGAGAUCGCACGUGCUCUGAUGUGUCUUCGACUGAUUCGAGGCACCCCGACUCGAGUCUGGGCUUCUUCGCUUUCCAUCUUUACGGAGAAGAGGAAGCCUCGAGCCUUUGUCGUGGCCUCGAAUUCUGUCGAAGGCAGGGAGAGAUUGUGCUUCUCUCGGGGCUCGGCAGCUGCUCUC